GAAAUGAAAGAUCAAGUCAUAUUAAGUCAGAAAUGUUCUAUGGUCAAAUGCUUUUAAUGUCAUGGUUAAGGUAAAAGUUACAGGACAUUUACGCAUGUAGUUGUAGCUGUUAGCAUCACGGUAGGAAGUGGGGCGUGACGCAAGGUCAGCGUUCGCUGACUGUACUGAAGAUGAACCUCGCCGCCCUCUGCCCAGUCGCAGCCUCACACUGUUUAUCCCUAUAUGCAAAAUCCUGAAUUUAUUCCAAGAAUUCUAUAGAUAAGGAUGUGAAGGCCCCAAUCGGAGGGCUGAAGAAUCGAAUAAUGAGUUUAGCUGGCAGCAGAUGGUAGGCUGAUCGAAGCUGCGAAGCAGCCAGCGAGCACUCAAGUCUUGUGAGUCACCACAACACCCUGUUGAAAUGGCUUCCUGUACAAGGUGUAUGAAAUGGCUCCAUACUCUCAGUUUUACUUAUGAGAGGAAUUCACACACUGCAGAGACCACUGUGGUGCCAAGGGACAGCUGCUCAGUAAUGUAGUCACAGAUGCUGCAAAAUGUGAUGACAACUUUGGUAAAACAAAAAAAAAUCAAGAAAUACAAAUGGCAGUUCUCCAUCCAAACUUCAAGUCUUGUGGAGGACUUUGUUGCAGAUUUUGGUGAAGUGGCCAUCAGAGAUUUCACAUCAAGUUCACAUCAAGAUAUGGUAAUGGUAAAGUUCUCAAUUGUCUCCUGUACAUGGUAAAGUUCUCGGUAAUGGUAAAGUUCUCAAUUGUCUCCUGUACAUGGUAAAGUUCUCAAUUGUCUCCUGUACAUGGUAUUUAAAUGCUUAGGCGAGCUUUUGGUCUUCUCUCAAGCUGGCACAAGAGAACAGCAGCUUGUAUUUGUUUAUCUUUGUAUUUUAUGAGCAGGAGUCAUUGUUGCCUUGCAGCUACAACAUGGAAACAACAGUAACCAAAACCUGUAUUUCCAAAACCAAAAAUGUUUGCUUUAACCAGCUAUUAGAAGAGGGAGAGGACUCUUUGGAGUACUCACUCAAGUAAUCUCUAACUACUGUACACUCAGAUAAAUAAAUAAUACACUUACCUCACAGAACUUUAUUUUAAUUUACCAAGGUUGGCAACAAUCACAUGUCAGUGUCAUCAUGUUACAACAUUGGUUGUCACCAUGUCACCAUCAUAAUUGAAACAUCAGUCACAAAAUAGAAUAUGAUCACAUGUGGGAUCUACCACAUAUUAGGUAAUAUGACAUUACUUGUUAAUCACUAUUUAUUUACUUUAUU